rnacentral:lncRNA from 1 species
UUGGCUGAAGAGCAGGCCCAUAUAAUGUUUGAGAAGACCAUGAAAUACAUCAGGGAGAAUCUGCUGCCACUUGACAGGCCCGACGGCACCUACGCUAUGUGAGUGAGAAGAUUCUGAAGUUGGCUGCCAGUAUCUCCAGGGACAAGCUGGUGUUGCUGGGAACCUGCUUCGGAAAAUUCACUAAGACCCACAGGUUUCAGUUGCACAUCACAACUCUGGAUUACCUUGUACCCUAUACCAAGUAUAAAGUGCGGAUAAAGCCUAGAGCUUCUUCCUGGAGCAGGUCAGUCCUUCCCGUAUGGGAACCAUCUGUUGAAAUAUGGUCUGGGUUGAAUCACCAAAAAGACUUCUCAGUACCAGGCAGUGGUGGUGUGCUCCAUGGCAGACAUUCCUUGGGUUUUGGGGUGGCAGGAAAAUCUACACAAGACUGCAGAAAAGUGGACCUCCUGGUGACUGUGGUAUUUCAUCAUGCAGACACUGGGAAAUAUGUGAGACAUGAAAUGACGUUGACU